GCUUACAGCCAUACCACCCUGAGCACGACCGAUCUCGUCUGAUCUCGGAAGCUAAGCAGGGUCGGGCCUGGUUAGUACUUGGAUGGGAGACCGCCUGGGGAAUACCAGGUGCUGUAAGCU
rnacentral:rRNA from 1 species